GAACUAGUGGUCAACAUUGGGACAAUGCAGCCAUAAAUAACAUGGACCAAUAUUUUCAUGGAGUGAGCAAGACCUGCCAGCAGAGCUCACUGGAGCAGGGAGACAUGCCGUCAUCCUUUUGGCGCCUGACAAAGCUUGAGAUUCAGAUCCUGCUGAACGAUGUUAAGCAUUCGAUU